ensembl:snoRNA
UCUGUUAUUUACAGAGCCAGAGGUCUGUAAAGAGCUCCAGGUCUCUUGACAUUAUGUCUUCAGUGCUGAGGGCUUCCUAUUUGCCAGUUUUAUCCUCAAGUGCCAAGACACAG